rnacentral:rRNA from 1 species
GACGAACGCUGGCGGCGUGCUUAACACAUGCAAGUCGAACGGUGAAGCGCCUUCCUUUUUGGUGGGUGUGGAUGAGUGGCGAACGGGUGAGUAACACGUGAGUAACCUGCCCCCUUCUUCUGGAUAACCGCAUGAAAGUGUGGCUAAUACGGGAUAUUCUGGGUCUGUCGCAUGAUGGGUCUGAGAAAGAUAUUGUUUCGGUGGGGGAUGGGCUCGCGGCCUAUCAGCUUGUUGGUGGGGUGAUGGCCUACCAAGGCGGUGACGGGUAGCCGGCCUGAGAGGGUGGACGGUCACACUGGGACUGAGACACGGCCCAGACUCCUACGGGAGGCAGCAGUGGGGAAUAUUGCACAAUGGGCGCAAGCCUGAUGCAGCGACGCCGCGUGAGGGAUGGAGUCCUUCGGGUUGUGAACCUCUUUCGCCAGUGAAGCAGGCCUGCCUCGUUUGUGGGUGGGUUGACGGUAGCUGGAUAAGAAGCGCCGGCUAACUACGUG